AUUGAACGCUGGCGGCAGGCCUAACACAUGCAAGUCGAACGAGUGGCGGACGGGUGAGUAAUGUCUGGGAACCUGCCCGAUGGAGGGGGAUAACUACUGGAAACGGUAGCUAAUACCGCAUACCAUCGGAUGUGCCCAGAUGGGAUGAGCUUGUAGGUGAGGUAACGGCUCACCUAGGCGACGAUCCCUAGCUGGUCUGAGAGGAUGACAAGCCACACGGGAACUGAGACACGGUCCAGAGUGCCUGGGGAGUCAGCAGUGGGGAAUAUUGCACAAUGGGGUGAAGGCUGAUGCAGCCAUGCCGCGUGAAUGAAGAAGGCCUGCGGGUUGUAAAGUACUUUCGGCGGGGAGGCGUUACCCACAGAAGAAGCACCGGCUAACUCCGUGCCAGCAGCCGCGGUAAUUC
rnacentral:rRNA from 1 species